CGGGCGGACCAAUCAGCUGCUCGUGUCCUCUGCGGCUGCGGCGCUGUGCAGCGACAGGAUGUGUCACGUGGGUGGAGGGCCCUCUCACUGAGUCCUGUAACAGCUGAGUGUGUGUAACUGGAUGGCGACCAAACACUUAAUCACUGUGUCGGAUGAUUCUUCGGAUGAAGCAGUGCGUUCUACUUGUGAUGAUGCCACAGUGUGCAAAAGGUUUGCAGUGAGUAAGGGCUACUGGAAGGAUCCCUAUAUUCAGCAUUUUAUCAGGCAGCCAUCAGAAAGGAAAGCACCUGAAAUCAGCCGAGGCUACUAUGCCCGUGUGAAGGGAGUGAAUCUGUUACUGGAUGCUUUUAUAAAGAAAACAAGCUGUAAUUGUCAAGUAAUAAACGUCGGAGCUGGUCUGGACACCACUUUCUGGCGGCUCAAGGAUGAAAAUCUGCUUCCAAAAAAAUAUUUUGAGGUUGACUUCCCAAUGAUCACUGCCAGAAAAAUACAUUUAAUCAAAACAAAGCCUCCCUUGUCAAAGCCGAUUCUGGAAACCCAUUCAAGUAAUAACCUGAAAAUAGAUGGUUAUGACAUGGACUCGGAUCACUACAGCAUCAUUGGACAAGAUCUCCGUGACUUGCCCGUAUUUGUGGAAAAACUGAAGAAAUAUGGCUUAGAUGUGAAAUUACCAACACUGUUAAUGGCAGAAUGUGUUCUUGUGUACAUCACACUUGAGCAGUCUGUAGAACUGGUAAAAUGGGCAUCGAGUAGCUUUAAUACCUGCAUGUUUAUUAACUACGAGCAGGUAAACAUGACGGAUCGUUUUGGCCAAGUCAUGAUAGAAAAUUUGCACCGGCGGCAGUGUAACCUGGCCGGGGUAGACUUCUGUAAAACGCUCGACACACAGAAAGAUCGUUUUCUGUUGAAUGGCUGGGACCAGGCAGAUGCUCUAGAUAUGAUGGACGUUUACAACAGUUUACCUCAAGCUGAUGUUCAGAGGAUUGAACUCCUUGAAUUCUUAGAUGAAAAAGAACUUUUGCAGCAACUUCUACAGCAUUACUGUAUCUGCUGGGCCACAAAAGGAGGCAGUCCCUUGGUGGCAGUUUCUCUACGAGUUCAAGUUGUUGCAACUGAACCUUGACAUUAUCUGGAUCAGUCAUAAAAUGGUUCCCUCAAUGUCUUCAAUAAUGGAUAAAUGGAUAAAAAAUGAAGGAAACCGGUUAAUUAAGGGAUCAGCGAGAUGACGUUUGGAAGUGUGUGAUUUCCAAUGAGAAGCUUUAUGUGGUACUCUGUGUGAGGGAAGGACAUUCUCUGACAGCACCAAUGGACGAUGCCUUUAAGAUGAAAUGUUUGUUGCUGUUUUUUAUUGUAUGUAUGGAGCAACAGCAACAAAUUACAAACUUGUGUGCGCUCCCAGGCUGCUGUUGUAUUAUGUCAGAUUAGCCAACCCCAUGUUUGGAUGACUGACUGGAUUGAUUUAAUUUCUGAAGCUCAUAUUUAAAUAACUCUCUUUUUCGUAUGAGUCAAUGCUUUCAUCAUAACAAUGGUAGCUUGGCGGUAAUGAUCAAUAAAGAAAAUUCCAAUUUACCACUAAAGCUGUGAUUUUAAAAGGACUGUUUUUGCAGGCAACGAAUUGAUUCUCCAAGUGAGAACUUGCACUGGGAAUGGGUUCAAACUAAAUAAAUGAAUUUGUUUUAAAAUAA